GUCUCUGUGGCUCAGUUGGUUAGAGCGUCAGUCUCAUACUCCAAGUAUGACUCGAUAACUUCGGGACAUCUGAAAGUCGCCAGUUCGAUCCUGGCCAGGGACA